rnacentral:rRNA from 1 species
AACGAACGCUGGCGGCAUGCCUAACACAUGCAAGUCGAACGAGAUCUUCGGGUCUAGUGGCGCACGGGUGCGUAACGCGUGGGAAUCUGCCCUUUGGUUCGGAAUAACAGUUGGAAACGACUGCUAAUACCGGAUGAUGACGAAAGUCCAAAGAUUUAUCGCCAGAGGAUGAGCCCGCGUAGGAUUAGCGAGUUGGUGUGGUAAAGGCGCACCAAGGCGACGAUCCUUAGCUGGUCUGAGAGGAUGAUCAGCCACACUGGGACUGAGACACGGCCCAGACUCCUACGGGAGGCAGCAGUGGGGAAUAUUGGGCAAUGGGCGAAAGCCUGAUCCAGCAAUGCCGCGUGAGUGAUGAAGGCCUUAGGGUUGUAAAGCUCUUUUACCCGGGAUGAUAAUGACAGUACCGGGAGAAUAAGCUCCGGCUAACUCCGUGCCAGCAGCCGCGGUAA